ACUAGCACAGAACCUCAUCGUUCUCAGACACUCCCUCUGUUCACUGAUUGGACAGCCAAAUAUUUUGGCCGGAGAAAACCCAAGAAUAUAUCGCAAACCCAGAUGGAGUACUGAAGGAAAA